AAAUGAAUAGACGGGGGCCCGCACAAGCAGUGGAGUAUGUGGUUUAAUUCGACGCAACGCGAAAAACCUUACCAGGUCUUGACAUCCUACUAACGAAGCAGAAAUGCAUUAGGUGCCCUUCGGGGAAAGUAGAGACAGGUGGUGCAUGGUUGUCGUCAGCUCGUGUCGUGAGAUGUUGGGUUAAGUCCCGCAACGAGCGCAACCCUUAUUGUUAGUUGCUACGCAAGAGCACUCUAACGAGACUGCCGUUGACAAAACGGAGGAAGGUGGGGAUGACGUCAAAUCAUCAUGCCCUUUAUGACCUGGGCUACACACGUACUACAAUGGCGGUAAACAAAGAGGAGCGACGGGGUGACCCUAAGCAAAUCUUCAAAAGCCGUCUCAGUUCGGAUUGUAGGCUGAAACCCGCCUACAUGAAGUUGGAAUUGCUAGUAAUCGUGAAUCAGCAUGUCACGGUGAAUACGUUCCCGGGCCUUGUACACACCGCCCGU
rnacentral:rRNA from 1 species